rnacentral:lncRNA from 1 species
GUGUGCAAAGUCUGCUCUCAGAGCGUCGAGAACAGCUUAACAGACAACAACAAUAAAGAGGAUGCUGGAGUUCCCUGCUUCGUAAAAGGAAGGAAGUGCUCCAAAUUCAUACCCUGAAGACAAUGAGCACUCCCUGUUGGUUUUUGGGUCAGAAACUCGAACAAGAAACCAAGACAGCAACACAUUCAAAGCAGAAAGAGCAGCUCGUAGUUGUUCACUAGAAAACACCUAUAAUGGCUGUGGACCAAUUACAUAGUAUAACCACUGAGCAGUUGGGAGAUUUUGAGGACUGGUCGAGCGCCACCUCAUCAGAUGGUUGCCUUGGCGACUGGAGUGAUUUUCAUGAAGGAGAUAGACCUACUUCACCUGUUCAUGCUCAGAGCACAGAACCAUUGGAACACUCCUCAAAGUCUACUACGUCUGUGCCGAGCGGCGAUGCUCUGAAUGUGUGGGGAGUUUUCCGUGAGUGCUUCCCGCCUGAGGUCCUGCCCAGCGAGCCUGUCGACCUUGACACACCAACCCUGUCAGAGCUGCUUAGGAGCCCCUCGCACACACAGCCACAGCCAGGAGACCUUAGCAGUGGGGCAGUAAGUGUGUGUGGUCGUCUGCUAUGUGAGGGAAGCUCAGUGAGGUUGUCGGGACCCAAGCCCUGCGUACACUCCAUCUCCCAGCUCAUCAACACAUUACCUCUGGUGGACCCAAAGACACACAACACAGAGGACAUGACUCUCCCUGACAUGGAGUUAGAGAAAACUGAAGACCCUCCGGCUACACUCAUACAGACUAAGGUAAUUGUGUGUGUGUGUGUGUGUGUGUGUGUGUGUGUGUGUGUGUGUGUUUUUUUAUGUGAAGGGGGGAGUUCACCUGUCUCUUCAGAUCAAAGGUAAUAGUCUACGCAGAUACAUGUAUUGUAAGCUGUGUAUACUUGCCCGGUGGGUAUCACUGUUGGAUGUAUCACUGGCUAUCAUUGUUCAGCACGUGAUGUCGCUGCACAGACUCCAGCCAACGCUCUGCUCUGCUCUGCUCUGCUCUGCUCUGCUCCAGCCGCCGAUAAGAGCCGUGCAUUAGGCCUGGUGCAUUAUUAAUGGCAGAGUCUCAUGUUUCACAGAGAAGAGGGAGAGUAGGCAGGAGAAGCGUGCGUCCCAGCCCUGCUCUAAAGGCGGGGGCCUUGUCUAAUCAGACCUGCCAGUGGAAAGGGAGAGCAUAUCAAAGCGUUAGAGUCAGUGCCGAGCCGUAGUGUGCUUUAUGUCAGUCCUGCAUGUUCUUGAUGUGCUCAAAGGAAACACUGAAUUCUCUGGAUGUGUAUUGCUGAUCAGGUUCAUGUUGUGAUUUUUAAAUUCAGCCUCAGAAUGAGUCUGUCUGUCUUUUAUGGAGAAAGUGUGUCCUCUGACCUCUGUGUGUGUCUUCCUCUUCAUCUCUCUCUCUUUUUGUUUUCUCACUUUCUUCUUUCCCUUAAUUUCUCCAUGUCUCUCUCUUUCUCUUUUUCAUUAUAUCUCUCUUCUGUCCUUCCUUCCUCUUCUUGUUUAUUUUACCUGUAGCUACUGGCUCCAUCCUGUUGCCAUGGAUCCCCACCCUUCCUGUACCAGGUGUCCCUGCGGUGGCUUAGGCAGUGCAACAUCCAGUUACAGGCCCACAAACAUGGCAAAGGCCUCCUGCAGUGAGACCCACACAGGCAUAUACACCGACAUGACAAAGGCCUUCUAUGCGACAGGUGUGUAUAUUAGCAUGGUGAAACGCCCAGCGAAGACCCCAACAUAAGGCCUUCUGCUCAGAGACCUGUGGUUGGUGCCAUGCGCUCACAUGGCAGAGGCUACUGGCAUAGGGAUACAAACCAUUUUGGGUUUCUUAUGGAAACCCAAGCAAUAGUCAUAUUCUUGUUUACCUACCUGCCUUACCGGACCUCAUUGGUGCAUACUCGUAUACACAGAACACAGAAACACACAUUCAAAUACAGUAUGUACCCAUUCACCUACACAUUCUUUUGGUAACCAAAGACAGGAGUGGGGCCAGUCCUUUGCCCUGAAAAUCUAGCUGGACUGAAAACUCAUUCAGGAGUGCAUUUCCCAAAUGCGUCAUUGAGCAACCACCGUGUUCACUAACAGAGAGAGAGGGUGUUCAAAAUGAUAGUCUCUCUAUAAUUUAACAAUGGCAGUUGAUCACCAACGCUUUCGGGAAACGCACCCCUGGAUCGGUUUUAGCCAUCAUUUACACUUGUCAUCCACAUCUGAUCAUACCAGUCCAAUUCAGAUCACAGUUGUGGUAGAAAUCUCUCUUUUUUUUUUUUUUAUUUAGAUAAACUCGAACACACACAGUAAAAGUUUAAACAUUUUUGACCAACUUGCAAGUGGAGACAGUCAGUCAGUGAGUCCAAGAAUAGACAACACACACAACUUUUAUAUUAUUCAGUGAAAACACGACAGAUUUUUCAAUGGAAAGUUACUAUUGGGCUGUAAGGCCUGUCGGUAUAAGACAGCACCUGGGUAGCAGAGUUGCUCAAGGACAUAGCUUGUUUUCCAAAACUUGAAGGGAGAAGUUUAGACCCAGACAGAGAGGAGAAGGGAGGAGAAUCACCUGUGCCAUGCUGACCACCUUAUCUCUCAUCCAUGGAGUGUUCCAGUGCAGAAUACAAUAUCAAAACUGUGUGGUAACAAAGGAAAAACUUGAAAACUUUGCAUGUACAAUUUGCAUCUGCACAAUUAACUCUUUAAAAAUUCCAUUACAAACUCAAGGGGACUUUUCUCUUCAGCUGUUGCAUCCAGCUGUGAAUUGGAUAUUUUAUGACGAAUACUGACAUUGAGUUUACAUUGAGAUCCAGUCUCAGUGUGUGCCUAAUCGGGCAACCUUACUGCUGGACACCUACACACUCUGGCGUUUCAACACCUGUGUUUGUAAUAGAAAUGUGGGGCCAGAGCAGCUAAAUGAUGUCUGUCUCAGUUGGGCUCAAAUAAACUGAAUCCAAUUUAUCA